UUGGGGGGCACUAUCGACCGAACGUUCGCUUGCGAAAGUUUUGAGUAAGAGCACAUCUGUUGGGACCCGAAAGAUGGUGAUCUAUGCCAGAACAGGGUGAAGGCAGGGGAAACUCUGCUGGAAGCUCGUAGCGAUACUGACGUGCAAAUCGUUCGUCUGAUUUUGGUAUAGGGGCGAAAGACUAAUCGAACCAUCUAGUAGCUGGUUCCCACCGAAGUUUCCCCCAGGAUAGCUGGAACUAUAUCGGUCUUAUCAGGUAAAGCUAAUGAUUAGAGGUCUUCGGAAUGAAACAUUCUGACCCUAUUCUCAAACUUUAAAUAGGUAAGAAACCCUAAGUCACUUAAUUGGACUUGGGUCUCGGACGAGAGUUCUUAGUGGGCCAUUUUUGGUAAGCAGAACUGGCGAUGCGGGAUGAACCGGACGUUGACUUAAGGUGCCAA
rnacentral:rRNA from 1 species